UAAAAAAAAAGUAAAGAUUCGUUUAAGUGCAAAUGUUAUUAGAAAGAAUAUCAUAUAUCGGUGUCAUUCUUGAUCAAUAUAGCCAUUUACAAGCAGCUGAUACGUUUUAUUAAUUGAUUCGAAAAUACAGUAAAUAACCCAAACCACUUUUAAAGUACGGGUGAAUAAAUGCUAAGCGAAUAAUGAGAUAUAGGCCCGACCUAUUUAUUAAAUUUUGGUACUACUGGUUUUGCAGACCUCCAACUAACAGCUUUUGGAUUUACUGAUUCAACAAGUAGGUUCAUAGGACGUGAAGCAGAAAACGAAAGAAAGCCAAAAUUGUGAAUGACCAGUUCACCACUAGAUGUAGGAUCGAACACGUUUUCCGAUAAUUGUGUCGGUUUAAUACUUACGGUAAAAGAAGAAUGCAUCGGCGACGGAGAGUGAGUUACUAAAGGAACAUUAUCAUUUUUCGUAGAAUUUUCAAGUGAUUGUAAUUUUGUUAUAGAGGUAAUAUGAGCGGGAAGUUUUGUAAAUAACUUAAUCAAAAGAGGUUUCAUAUUAUUGGUAUUGCCUUUUGUUUUCUUAUUUUUUAAAGUCGAGAACAAAAAGUGUAUCGUGGUGCUCGAAGGAUCUUCCUUUUUAAACAUAAUUGGCUUUCCAACUUCAUGAUUUCCAUCUUCAUUUAUUUCAAAAGGCGUAACACGAACUAGUCCACCUAAAAUAAUAGACUGACCGAAACGAACACGAUACUGAACAGGCUUACUUGUGAGUUGCUUAUUUCUAGACCUUGUUUUAGGUACGAGACUUGUCAAUAGCUUAGUAUCAACCCAGGGUAAUAAAGAUUUCAAGUUACCACGGUAUCCAGGAGUAUCAAAAAUUAAGCCUUCAGAUAAUUGCUUAAAACAGGAACCGAAAUAUUGUGUAGGAUACCCUUUUAUUGCUUGAGUGGUUCCUGGUAAAAAACUGUCAAGCAAAAGCUCAUUAAAAACACCAUUUCCCCGUUUAGCCAAAGUUUUUAGCAAUGUAGAUUUUCCAGAAUUUGCUUCGCCUACGACAUAUACAUGACCUCGCGAACAUAGCAAGGGAUUUAUCCUUCCCAAGAGCUUAUC